rnacentral:rRNA from 1 species
UACGAGGGGGGCUAGCGUUGCUCGGAAUCACUGGGCGUAAAGGGUGCGUAGGCGGGUCUUAAGUCAGGGGUGAAAUCCUGGAGCUCAACUCCAGAACUGCCUUUGAUACUGAGGAUCUUGAGUUCGGGAGAGGUGAGUGGAACUGCGAGUGUAGAGGUGAAAUUCGUAGAUAUUCGCAAGAACACCAGUGGCGAAGGCGGCUCACUGGCCCGAUACUGACGCUGAGGCACGAAAGCGUGGGGAGCAAACAGG